GUCGAACGGGAGGAAAAGAGAAGCUUGCUUUUUUUGAAUCUAGUCGCUAACGGGUGAGUAACACGUAAACAACCUGCCUUCAGGAUGGGGACAACAGACGGAAACGACUGCUAAUACCGAAUGUGUUCCGGAGACCGCAUGAUUUCCGGAAGAAAGGAUGGCCUCUAUUUAUAAGCUAUCGCCUGAAGAGGGGUUUGCGUCUGAUUAGGCAGUUGGUGAGGUAACGGCCCACCAAACCUACGAUCAGUAGCCGGUCUGAGAGGAUGAACGGCCACACUGGAACUGAGACACGGUCCAGACUCCUACGGGAGGCAGCAGUGGGGAAUCUUCCGCAAUGGACGAAAGUCUGACGGAGCAACGCCGCGUGAGUGAUGACGGCCUUCGGGUUGUAAAGCUCUGUGAUCGGGGACGAAUGGCUGGUAUGCUAAUACCAUAUCAGAGUGACGGUACCCGAAUAGCAAGCCACGGCUAACUACGUGCCAGCAGCCGCGGUAAUACGUAGGUGGCAAGCGUUGUCCGGAAUUAUUGGGCGUAAAGCGCGCGCAGGCGGCUUCUUAAGUCCAUCUUAAAAGUGCGGGGCUUAACCCCGUGAUGGGAUGGAAACUGGGAGGCUGGAGUAUCGGAGAGGAAAGUGGAAUUCCUAGUGUAGCGGUGAAAUGCGUAGAGAUUAGGAAGAACACCGGUGGCGAAAGCGACUUUCUGGACGACAACUGACGCUGAGGCGCGAAAGCGUGGGGAGCAAACAGGAUUAGAUACCCUGGUAGUCCACGCCGUANACGAUGAAUACUAGGUGUAGGAGGUANCGACCCCUU
rnacentral:rRNA from 1 species